GACGAACGCUGGCGGCGUGCCUAAUACAUGCAAGUCGAACGCUUCUUUCCUCCCGAGUGCUUGCACUCCAUUGGAAAGAGGAGUGGCGGACGGGUGAGUAACACGUGGGUAACCUACCCAUCAGAGGGGGAUAACACUUGGAAACAGGUGCUAAUACCGCAUAACAGUUUAUGCCGCAUGGCAUAAGAGUGAAAGGCGCUUUCGGGUGUCGUUGAUGGAUGGACCCGCGGUGCAUUAGCUAGUUGGUGAGGUAACGGCUCACCAAGGCCACGAUGCAUAGCCGACCUGAGAGGGUGAUCGGCCACACUAGGACUGAGACACGGCCCAGACUCCUACGGGAGGCAGCAGUAGGGAAUCUUCGGCAAUGGACGAAAGUCUGACCGAGCAACGCCGCGUGAGUGAAGAAGGUUUUCGGAUCGUAAAACUCUGUUGUUAGAGAAGAACAAGGACGUUAGUAACUGAACGUCCCCUGACGUUAGCUAACCAGAAAGCCACGGCUAACUACGUG
rnacentral:rRNA from 1 species